GACGAACGCUGGCGGCGCGCUUAACACAUGCAAGUCGAGCGAGAACCAGGACUUCGGUCCUGGGGACAGCGGCGAACGGGUGAGUAACACGUGGAUAACCUGCCCUCGGCACCGGGAUAGCCCGGGGAAACUCGGAUUAAUACCGGAUAGCCCUUCCGACUCUCGAGUCGGUCCGAAAGGUAGCUUCGGCCUCUGGCCGAGGAUGGGUCCGCGGCGGAUUAGCUUGUUGGUGGGGUAAUGGCCUACCAAGGCUU
rnacentral:rRNA from 1 species